rnacentral:pre_miRNA from 1 species
CUCAGGGUGGGGUGGUUCCUCAGCCUGGAUUGCGAGAGGGCACAGGCCAGGCCAAGGGACCUCACCGGUGCAUG